rnacentral:snRNA from 1 species
AGCUUUGCGCAGUGGCAGUGUCCAAGUCAAUGAGGUUUAUCCAAGGUGUGAUUGUUGCUAAUUGAAAACUUUUCCCAAUACCCCGCCAUGACGACUUGCAAUAUAGUCGGCAUUGGCAAUUUUUGGCAGUCCUGAUGGGA